CCACCGUUAACCUACCCAUCGAUAACAACAAAUGUCCGCGAAUAAUUUCACAUUAAUUGGUUGAAUGAUUGUAUAUAUUAUUUAUUACAUUAAUUCAAAGAACACGGUGAAGCUUUUCUUCAGCUCACUCAUCAUCCGCCUUCCAUUGGAGCUCCUUCAAAGACGCAACUCUGCAACAAAUCCAGAUGGGAAAAUAUCAAUUUGAUGAACAACCCACAAUCAUCUACUGAUACAUAAGCUUAAAGCUGCUCUAACUAAUCACGGAUCUGUAUAAUCAAUAAGUUGAGAAAACCAGUAUCUAUCCGCAAUGGAGCAGCAAUGUUAGAAGCUCGGUAAGCAGAUUCGUCGACGGGGCCAGUAAGACCCAACAACGACCGGCCAGUAAACCUCUCGUUUUGAUUUCGCUACAGCCACUCUGGCAAAAAUCAAGAGAAGGGUCGAGACGCAAACCUCUCACUCCGUACAUAGUAGCAGAUCCGAUACCAGUUUUUUUAACCAAGAUGAAGAAAUCAGUAAGGAAUAGGAACAAAAUGUCAGAAGCUCGGUAAGCAGAUUUGUUGACUGGGAAACAACAACCGGCCAGUAAACCUCUGGAUGUAGAUUGAUUUAGCUACAGCCGCUAUGGCAGAUUCAAGUGAGAGGUCAAUUGGUGAGGACCUCUCCCUUGGUACAAUGUAGCAGUCGGAUAUUGUAAACAGUCAAAUAUUGGAGACACGAAAGUAUAAACAGCGGUAAGUGAAAUCGGAAGAUCAAAUACACCAUGGAAGCGUAAACCCAACUCAGAGAAUCGGACUAAGCUAAGCUGGAAAUCGAUGAUAAUCGUUGGAGAGUCUGUGAAUUAUAUCAGCAAGAAGACGAUGAGAAAGAGUUCAUAUAGGGAGAGGCGGAGGAUGAGUGUAGGGUUUAGGUGUAGGAUUGGGCUGAUGUGGAUUUGAG
rnacentral:lncRNA from 1 species